rnacentral:rRNA from 1 species
AGUGAACGCUGGCGGUAGGCCUAACACAUGCAAGUCGAACGGCAGCACAGUAAGAGCUUGCUCUUACGGGUGGCGAGUGGCGGACGGGUGAGGAAUACAUCGGAAUCUACUUUUUCGUGGGGGAUAACGUAGGGAAACUUACGCUAAUACCGCAUACGACCUACGGGUGAAAGCAGGGGAUCCUCGGACCUUGCGCGAUUGAAUGAGCCGAUGUCGGAUUAGCUAGUUGGCGGGGUAAAGGCCCACCAAGGCGACGAUCCGUAGCUGGUCUGAGAGGAUGAUGAGCCAGAAUGGAACAGAGUCACGGACCAGGCUCCUACGGGAGGCAGCAGUGGGGAGUAUUGGACAAUGGGCGCAGGCCUGAUACAGCCAUACCGCGGGGGUGAAGAAGGCCUUCGGGUUGUAAAGCCCUUUUGUUGGGAAAGAAAAGCAGCAGGUUAAUACCCCGCUGUUCUGACGGUACCCAAAGAAUAAGCACCGGCUAACUUCG